UCUCCGUUGGUGAACCAGCGGAGGGAUCAUUACCGAGUUCCUGCAACUCCCAACCCUUGCGAACCGUACCCCAGUCUGUUCUCGUUGCUUCCGGCAGGCGGGGGGGGCCACCUGGCCCCUCCCCCUGCCGGGGGCGGCGGGCCCUCUGAACCUGUAUAUCUCAACCACUGCAACCCGCCUGAGCAAAACAAAAAAUAAUCAAAACUUUCAGCAACGGAUCUCUUGGCUCUG
rnacentral:misc_RNA from 1 species